UCCCAUGGCCACCACCGUCAAAAGCCACCCCAGGUCCUUCUCCAUGGCCUAUGCAUUCCUGACGCAGUGGCGCUCCUACUCAUUGGCCAGCGAGGGCCGAGGGCGGCGGCAACAAGGGCAACAGCCUCCAAAGUGGCCACAUUUACCAGGCUGAAACCCAGAGGAAGGAUUUAGCAGAUGAAAUUUAUCUCCUCGAAAUCACCACGAGACCUUCUAAGAAGUGUUUUGUAAGAAGAAGCCAAAAGACUGAACCCUUG
rnacentral:lncRNA from 1 species